rnacentral:rRNA from 1 species
ACACCAGUGGCGAAGGCGCUCUACUGGACCGAAACUGACACUGAGGGACGAAAGCUAGGGGAGCGAAAGGGAUUAGAUACCCCUGUAGUCCUAGCUGUAAACGAUGGAUACUAGGCGUUGCUUGUAUCGACCCGAGCAGUGCCGAAGCUAACGCGUUAAGUAUCCCGCCUGGGGAGUACGCACGCAAGUGUGAAACUCAAAGGAAUUGACGGGGGCCCGCACAAGCGGUGGAGUAUGUGGUUUAAUUCGAUGCAACGCGAAGAACCUUACCAGGGCUUGACAUCCCGCGAAUCUUUCCGAAAGGAGAGAGUGCCUUAGGGAACGCGGAGACAGGUGGUGCAUGGCUGUCGUCAGCUCGUGUCGUGAGAUGUUGGGUUAAGUCCCGCAACGAGCGCAACCCUCGUCCUUAGUUGCCAGUAUUAAGUUGGGCACUCUAGGGAGACUGCCGGGGACAACUCGGAGGAAGGUGGGGAUGACGUCAAGUCAGCAUGCCCCUUACGUUCUGGGCUACACACGUACUACAAUGGUUGAGACAAAGGGCAGCGAACUCGCAAGAGACAGCGAAUCCCAGCAAACUCAGCCUCAGUUCAGAUUGCAGGCUGCAACUCGCCUGCAUGAAGGAGGAAUCGCUAGUAAUCGCAGGUCAGCAUACUGCGGUGAAUUCGUUCCCGGGCCUUGUACACACCGCCCGUCACACCAUGGAAGCUGGCUGCGCCCGAAGUCAUUACCCUAACCCGAAGAGGGAGGGGGAUGCCGAAGGUAGAGCUGGUGACUGGGGUGAAGUCGUAACAAGGUAACCA